ACUCAAAGCUAGAUCCUUGAAAUCCAGCCCCUAGCUUUGAGUGAACCCCCUAGCUUAGAGUGAAACCCCUAACUUUGAGUAGAGCCCCUAGCUUAGAGUGAAGCCUCUAGCUUUGAGUGAAGCAUCUAGUUUUAUGUCAAGGAUCUAGCUUUGAGUGAAGCCCCUAGCCUAGAGUGAAGCCCCUAGCUUUGUGUGAAGCCUCUAGCUUUAAGUGAAGCAUCUAGCUUUGAGUGAAGCCCCUAGUUUUGAGUGAAGCCCCUAGUUUUGAGUGAAGCCCCAAGCGUACAGUGAAUCCCCUAGCUUAGAGUGAAGCCUCUAGCUUUGAGUGAAGCAUCUAGUUUUAUGUCAAGGAUCUAGCUUUGAGUGAAGCCCCUAGCUUUGAGUAAUGCCCCUAGCUUUAAGUGAAGCAUCUAGCUUUAAUUGAAGCAUCUAGCUUUGAGUGAAGCCCCUAGCUUUGAGUAAAGUCCCUAGCUUUGAGUGAAGUCCCUAGCUUAGAAUGAAACCUCUAGCUUACAGUAAAGCCAUUAGCUUUGAGUGUAGCCUUUAGCUUUGAGUGACGCCGCUAGCUUUGAGUGAAGCAUCUAGCUUUGAGUGAAGCCCCUAGCUUAGAGUGAAACCCCUAACUUUGAGUAGAGCCCCUAGCUUAGAGUGAAGCCUCUAGCUUUGAGUGAAGCAUCUAGUUUUAUGUCAAGGAUCUAGCUUUGAGUGAAGCCCCUAGCCUAGAGUGAAGCCCCUAGCUUUGUGUGAAGCCUCUAGCUUUAAGUGAAGCAUCUAGCUUUGAGUGAAGCCCCUAGUUUUGAGUGAAGCCCCUAGUUUUGAGUGAAGCCCCAAGCGUACAGUGAAUCCCCUAGCUUAGAGUGAAGCCUCUAGCUUUGAGUGAAGCCCCUAGCUNUGAGUAAUGCCCCUAGCUUUAAGUGAAGCAUCUAGCUUUAAUUGAAGCAUCUAGCUUUGAGUGAAGCCCCUAGCUUUGAGUAAAGUCCCUAGCUUUGAGUGAAGUCCCUAGCUUA
rnacentral:sRNA from 1 species